GAUGAACGCUGACAGCAUGCUUAACACAUGCAAGUCAACUGUGGCGGACGGGUGAGUAACGCGUAAAGAACUUGCCUCACAGAUAGGGACAACAUUUGGAAACGAAUGCUAAUACCUGAUACUGUGAGAGAGCUUUGCGUCCCAUUAGCUAGUUGGAGAGGUAACGGCUCACCAAGGCGAGGAUGGGUAGCCGGCCUGAGAGGGUGAUCGGCCACAAGGGGACUGGGACACGGGCCUUAGUCCUUCGGGCGGCAGCAGUGGGGAAUAUAUGACAAUGGACCGAAGUCUGAUCAAGCAAUUCGGUGUGUACGAUGAAGCUUUCGGAAUGUAAAGUGCUUUCAGUUGGGAAGCGGUACCAACAGAAGAAGUGACGGCUAAAUACGUGCCAGCAGCCGCGGUAAUUC
rnacentral:rRNA from 1 species